rnacentral:rRNA from 1 species
GACAGAGGAUGCAAGCGUUAUCCGGAAUGAUUGGGCGUAAAGCGUCUGUAGGUGGCUUUUAAGUCCGCCGUCAAAUCCCAGGCUCAACCCUGGACAGGCGGUGGAAACUACCAAGCUGGAGUACGGUAGGGCAGAGGGAAUUUCCGGUGGAGCGGUGAAAUGCGUAGAGAUCGGAAAGAACACCAACGGCGAAGCACUCUGCUGGGCCGACACUGACACUGAGAGACGAAAGCUAGGGGAGCGAAUGGG